rnacentral:rRNA from 1 species
UACGUAGGGUGCGAGCGUUAAUCGGAAUUACUGGGCGUAAAGUGUGCGCAGGCGGCAGAGCAGGUCGAGUGUGAAAGCCCCGAGCUUAACUUGGGAACUGCGCUCGAAACUACUUGGCUAGAGUGUGGCAGAGGGAGGUGGAAUUCCACGUGUAGCGGUGAAAUGCGUAGAGAUGUGGAGGAACACCGAUGGCGAAGGCAGCCUCCUGGGCCAACACUGACGCUCAUGCACGAAAGCGUGGGGAGCAAACAGG